rnacentral:tRNA from 1 species
CAAGAAAAGGUCAGGAUAGCUCAGUGU